UGGGGAAUAUUGCGCAAUGGGCGAAAGCCUGACGCAGCGACGCCGCGUGGAGGAUGAAGGUCUUCGGAUUGUAAACUCCUGUCGGAUGGGAAGAAAAGGUUUAUUUUUAAUAGAGAUGAGCUAUGACGGUACCAUCAAAGGAAGCACCGGCUAACUUCGUGCCAGCAGCCGCGGUAAUACGAAGGGUGCAAGCGUUAUUCGGAAUCACUGGGCGUAAAGAGUGCGUAGACGGUGCGUUAAGUUUGUCGUUAAAGACUCUAGCCUAACUGGAGGGUUGCGAUGAAAACUGGCGUGCUAGAGGGUGAGAGAGAGAAGUGGAAUUCCUGGAGUAGCGGUAAAAUGCGUGGAUCUCAGGAGGAACACCAAUGGCGAAGGCAGCUUCUUGGCUCAUUCCUGACGU
rnacentral:rRNA from 1 species